rnacentral:lncRNA from 1 species
CAAAGACCCCCGAGUGGGUUGAAACGACGGAUGCAGGGCACUGGGCCCAGGAGAGAGGGGUCAGCCUUUGCUUCCAUAAUAUUGAAAUCACCCACUUGCGUGUCCGUCUUUUCCUCGGGCUGUGACCUCCUUCAAUGGUCUGUGUCCCACUCGUCUUUCAGUCCCUCCUCCCCAUCGUCUAGCAGGGCGCCUGGCUCCCUAUAAGUUUAGCUCAAUAAAUGUUAAGUUGAACGGCGGCAGAUCUUUGCAUCGGUCCAAUCCCGAGCUUCUGUACAGAAAGCAAGAUAAACACGUUCCACUCAGGGGGCCGGCGUUCUCUUGUUCCUUUGGAGGGGCUAUGGGGGAUUCAGGGGGUACUUUAAUACUCCCGAGUGGAGGGAGCUGUCAGACAGCCGGCCCUCUGCAAGGGACAGUCGAAGGAGUUGGGAAGGUGCGUGCGCCCCUCUCACCAGGCCCGCGGAUGCUGGGUGGUACCCAAGGAGGCGCUCGGAUGGGUCACUACGGAUGGAGCUAAGCCAGGGAUCUUCUGCACGAACUUCUCCCAUCUCAGAGCAUCCUCGUCCUUCUAUGUCACUGAACUGGCCGUCUCCAUCUGGCAACUGGGAAGAGUCUGCCUCCAGGGCGCCGGGGGUGGGGAGGAGGGCAGAGCGCAGGAUUGCGGAAUGCGCGGCGCACACGCGAGCGGGCAUCACCGCGGGCUUCGCGCCGGCUCGCUUAGGCUCCGGCGCGGGCGCAGCCAGGACCCCGGCCCGGUGCGGAGCGCGCCCUCCCCCACGCCAUCUGGGCCUCCGGCGGCCCAGGCCCGUCCCGCCUCCCCGAGGCCUUCCGCGGCUCGGUGUCCCACGCUGCCCCGGCGGCGGGCGGACGGCAGCGCGGGCCGCCGGUGAGCCGGGGCGAGCGGGGGCCGAGGACGCACGCGGCCGGACGGGCGGCGCGCGCUCCCCUCCCCCGCCCCGGCCGGCAGCGCGAGCCGCCGUUGACGUCACGGGCGCCCGCCUGCCCUGCGCUCCACUGGGCAGAGCGUGCGCGGCCGGCCGCCGAGCACAUGGGCCCGCGGGCCGGCGGGCUCGGGGCGGCCUGGCCCGGGAGGAGCGGCGAGGGGGCGCCAGCAAGGAUGGGCCGCGGCACCCCCGGCCCCCGGCGAGUGGAUUUCCACGCGGGAAGGAGGUUGGCGGCGCCGGUGACCUUCGGAGACACGGCUGGAUCCACCUUCCAGGAUUUGUACCCAAAAGAAAACAGAAGAGGAGGGUUUGAGUCACCGUUCUGCUGUAUGAUCAUGGAAUCCUGUUACACCUGGGAUUUAGGUGCCUUCAAUCUGGAAAAAAUACAUAUCCGUUCAACACUCCAGAGGGACUUCAGAGCUGUCCUUCCCUCAACUAAAGCUGGAGUAUUUUAGGAUUUGGAGAAUUAAGGUAAGAGAUUUUCUCCUCUUGGGCCUUAGGGGACCAAAAAUGGCUUUUGGAAGUGGAGAUUGCUUGCAACACAACUUGGGUUGUGGUUCUCGGCUUCUCGGCCUGGCUUCCUAUGCUGCUCCAAGGUGCUUGGGAAGCUGGCUUCCCAUAACCUCAUGCGGACGCACAGGAGCCAGCUCUUGGUGUCUGGUCGCCUGGAUGUCAUGCCUCAGGAACGCUCCCUCUGUCCCUAGCUGAGGAAGGAGCCCACCACCUCCUAGGUCGAUACUCCUCUCCUCCUGGUGGAAGGUGGAGAAUGCUCCAGCUGUCUUGCUAAGACAUGUGCAGACCACACUGGGGAGAGGACGAGAAGGUGAGGUGGGGGUUACGUGAUCAAGUCACAGCACCGUUGGGGGCAUCCAGUGUGUGAUCUCUUCCUCCCUCUCUGCCUCCCUGCAUUGCACGCCCCAGCCACACCGAGUCUGAGGCUGCCUGGGGUAAAGGUUACAACCUAGGGCUUCCCGCAGACCCCGGUUUUCCUGAUUUUGCCACUUGCCUCACCUUGAACAAAUCACUGGGCCUCUCUAAGCCUCGGUUUCCUCACUUGUGACAUAGGGAUGGUAUUAGCACCCACUUCAGGAGGAUGUUGUGGGUAUUGAACAAGAUAGUGAAGAUAAAGAGCUUAGCGUGCUGCCUGGCAUGGAGGAGGAGAUGCUCCACAGUGGAAGUCUUUUUUCUUUUUAAUUCAUUAAUUACACCAUUUAGUGGUCAUUGCAUGCAGCAGGCUAUUUCAAGUCCUUGGCCUGCUCUUCUCUCUUCCUUUCACCUACCACCAAGUCUGCCUGGGGAACUGGUAUGUGGAUCCUUCACAGAGGGUCAUGCAUAGCCUCCCACCCCAGCAGAGCUGGUUGCUCCCUCCCCUGGACUGCUGGUGGGCUUUUAGGGCAUGCCUCCAUCAUACUGCAAGAUUUCUUCCCCCCUCCCCUCCCUGUGCCCCCAGCCGCUGGUGAGCUUGCUUAGAGCAAAGACUGUCUUAUACAUCCAGACGCCCCAGGGUUGGGCCUCCCAUUGUGGUUGUUGAAAGAACAAAUGAAUGAAUGAUUGAAAAGGAGGGAAUCGAGAGGAAAAGAGAGCAACCCAAAAGAAGAAAGUUUUUAAAGAUUUAGAGCAAAGAAUGAGGUCAGUUGCAAUUUUUUUUUAAACAAGAUGUUGAAAAGAAUAAAUACCAUGAUGAAAAAAGAGUAACAUGAUUCCUACCACAGAUUUGAAAACUACAGGAUGGAAAGGUGAGUGGGAAAGUGUGGGCUGGUGAGAAGAUGUUAGGGAAGUCAGAACUGCGAGGGUCGCAGAGAACUGUGCUCAUUGUGCUGGUUGUGUCACCUUUUCUCUUGUGCCUUAAAUCUUUCACAGUGCAUUUGUAUUUCUAACCUGUGGUGUUCAGCAGUGGCGAGAUGCACAGAGAUGGAGAGGGCGAGGGCUUUCCUUUCGUUCUAGGUGGGGGACUGACACACACAUAGGAUGCUCCAGGUUCACUGGAUGGAUGCAAGGCCGGGGGGAGGGGCCCUCGUCCAUUGGGGAGGCUUCCUGGAGAGGAUGCUGCCUCUUGAGACUCUGGAAAGAUGCGGGAAGAUUAGCCCUGAGCUAACAUCUGCUACCAAUCCUCCUCUUUUUGCUGAGAAAGACUGGCCCUGAGCUAACAUCCAUGCCCAUCUUCCUCUACUUUCUAUGUGGGACGCCUACCACAGCAUGGCCUGUCAAGCGGUGCCAUGUCCACACCCGGGAUCCGAACCAGCAAACCCCGGACCGCUGAAGUGGAACGUGUGCACUUAACCGCUGCACCAUGGGGCCGGCCCCUGAUUUUGCCAAUUUUUUUUGAGCACAUGCUUCCUCUUCUAUACAAGAGAUCUUCCCCCCGAAUCUGUGUGACUAACCAUUUGUAGAGAGUUUCUGAAACGGUGAGGAAACUACUGCUCAGAGAUGUGAAAUAACUCAGCAGAGGUCACACAGCUAAUAAGUGACAAACAGGAAUGUCCAAGCGGUGAAGGUCAUUUCCAGUCGCCGAGUCUUUCACAAGCCCAUGUCUGGACCGGGACAUCUCAUGUCUCAUCGUGAGCAGGAGACUGGAAAAUAACUGGCCGGAGGGGAUAGGCCCAGCAGUAACACUGGCCCAGAGAGAAUUGAGUGCUUUUGUCCGGUGACAAGAAGACACACGCAGCUGGAAAAAGGAGCCUAGGCCAUCACCAUGUUCCCCAAAUAGCAGAACACCUCCCUCCUUCCCACCUUCUCUCCCGUGGCACAGAAUACGUUUUACCAGGGAUCGGUCACUGCUGAGCUGUCUUCAUUUAAUGUGGCUUUGACAGAAUAGUUGGUCUGGAAAUCUUAUUUUCAAUUAAAUAUCCUUAUUGAACUGCCUUGGUUUUGAAAAGAUUCCAUUAGGAUGGCUAAUUAUAUAGCAGUUGCUCCAAGGAGAUGCUGGCACUCCAUUUCAGCUCUUAAGUAAUUCGAAUCAAAUGCUGUCUUCUUUCCUCCUUGGAGCUGUGAGCGACCGUCUUCCCCUCACACUGUAGGCUUCUCGUGAGUUAUUUUUGGAAAUCCAAGUCAAAACAGCAAUUUUGGCAGAGGCCAUUUCUAGCCUAGCAGAGUAAACCGUAUGUACUGAUAAAAACAGCCGAAGAGUCAGUGCCUUUAAAAAGCAACUAAACCAUCUCCUUCUGUGGGGGUUAAAUUUGGGGGACCUCCAAACUGUCCUUUGUACUAUCCUGUUCCUUCGUGAGCUCUAACUGAAGUCAAAGACAUUGGAAUUCCUUUAAGAUUAGCAAAGCUUUGUCCGUUUGCAAACUGUCAUCGUGGUCAUUUUGUUUCAAGAUGGCAGGCCUUGGCAGAAUUUACCAGGCACUCUGUUUUGGCCUCUGGAUCUCCCCUGAAACGUGGAAAUCACUUUCUGUUCCCAUUCUGUGCUGUUUGCUUCUGUCACCAGAGCACGCGCGACAUUCCUCGCGACAUUCCUCCUUACGCAUACCAAGCAGGCAGACCUUCCUGCUCACCCGUUAGAACGGAGCUUCUUGUGGCCAGGGGCUGUGUUUUUCAUCUUAUCUCCUUCCUGGCACAUAAUAGAUGCUCAAAUAGUUGGAUGAAUAGAUAGAUUAGAUAGAUGAAUGAAUAGAAUCCUAUUUCUAUUUUUCUCUUUUAAAAAAAAAAUCAAUCAUUUAUUACAUAAAUAGUAAAUGAAUGUUUUCACCUUGUGGGGAAAAAACAGCUUCCAAAUGAGGUUAAAGUCCUUUUUUUUUUUCCAGUUUUCUUUUUUUUUAAAGAUUGGCACCUGAGCUAACAACUGUUGCCAAUCUUCCUUUUUCUUUUUUCCUGUUUUUUCUCCCCAAAUCCCCCCAAUACAUAGUUGGGUGU